rnacentral:rRNA from 1 species
AUUGAACGCUGGCGGCAUGCUUUACACAUGCAAGUCGAACGGUAACAGGCCUUCGGGUGCUGACGAGUGGCGAACGGGUGAGUAAUGCAUCGGAACGUGCCCAAUCGUGGGGGAUAACGUAGCGAAAGUUACGCUAAUACCGCAUAAGCCCUGAGGGGGAAAGUGGGGGACCGCAAGGCCUCACGCGAAUGGAGCGGCCGAUGUCAGAUUAGCUAGUUGGUGGGGUAAAGGCCCACCAAGGCGACGAUCUGUAGCGGGUCUGAGAGGAUGAUCCGCCACACUGGGACUGAGACACGGCCCAGACUCCUACGGGAGGCAGCAGUGGGGAAUUUUGGACAAUGGGCGCAAGCCUGAUCCAGCCAUGCCGCGUGCGGGACGAAGGCCUU